rnacentral:rRNA from 1 species
AUUGGACGCUGGCGGCAUGCCUUACACAUGCAAGUCGAACGGCAGCACGGGAGUAAUCCUGGUGGCGAGUGGCGAACGGGUGAGUAAUAUAUCGGAACGUGCCCAGUCGUGGGGGAUAACGCAGCGAAAGCUGUGCUAAUACCGCAUACGAUCUACGGAUGAAAGCGGGGGAUCGCAAGACCUCGCGCGAUUGGAGCGGCCGAUAUCAGAUUAGCUAGUUGGUGGGGUAAAGGCCCACCAAGGCGACGAUCUGUAGCUGGUCUGAGAGGACGACCAGCCACACUGGAACUGAGACACGGUCCAGACUCCUACGGGAGGCAGCAGUGGGGAAUUUUGGACAAUGGGCGCAAGCCUGAUCCAGCAAUGCCGCGUGCAGGAUGAAGGCCUUCGGGUUGUAAACUGCUUUUGUACGGAACGAAACGGCCCUUUCUAAUACAGGGGGCUAAUGACGGUACCGUAAGAAUAAGCACCGGCUAACUACGUGCCAGCCGCCGCAGUAA